rnacentral:snoRNA from 1 species
AUGAUCGAAGCUGAAUACACCGAGCGAUUUUUCUCUCAAUAUAUUUUGGGAGUCCAAGCCAGAUUUCUGAUCUAU